UUUAACAUAAUGUAAAAUUGUAACAUUGUAAACAUAAUGUUACAAUUUUACAUUAUGUUACUGUCAGAGUCGGACGGUGCCCCGACCGGUCGACCUGUGUGUGUGUGUGUGUGUUUGUUCUCCUCUCUCUCGCUCUGCUUUUUCUCCGGCUCCGCUGCGAUUGUCACGCGGUCGCGUAGCAACGGAAGACCUCAGACCCGGAAGUGCUGCCGCUCUGAGCUGCCUCACCUGCGACCGAUUCGUCGCCAGCUACUGCCAAUUAUCCACCAUCGUUGGUAGGGCUAUUUAACGAUGUGGCUGAGUGACAGACAGCGCUGGAGUAUUGCACCAAGCCUGGAAGCGAACGAGACGGAAGGGGAGACUUCACUGAUUCUCUGGAGUUUUGUGGACACACGAGGGAGACGGGGAGAGGAGCACUGAAGGGACUUGCACUGUGGAUAACUGUGGAUUGGUUUUGGCUUCACUGUAAAUAAAGACACUGUUCAACUUAAACGAGAGGACAGCGAACUGGAUGAAAGUGACAGCGAGUACGAGAGGAUCCCAGAGUCAGGCCUGAGGAACAGUUAGGAGAUCAGGGUCAGUUAAAGGUUAUCAAUAUCUGAUGUGUGUAGGUAAUCAAUAGUGUGUGUGUGUGUGUGUGUUUUGUUUGUUUUGUUUUGUUUUUUUUAAGGUCAGCAACAGUAUUCACCCUCUGUCUGAAUCUUUGAGAUGAUUAAACUUAAUCCAAGUCUGGUGUGACUUUUGAGAA